AGAGCUCUUCUCUGAGCCUGUUGGGGGGAGGGAGGGGGGCGUGGAGGAACUGGGGUUCGCGGGAGCACGAGCUGCAGCACCACUUCCGGAAAGUUCAGGAGCCCUGGAAAGGAGAAGGAAUAAGACGGCAGGAGGAAGAGAGAGAGAGGGUAGAAUGGAAGAAUCUCACUUCAAUUCUAACCCGUACUUCUGGCCUUCUAUCCCCACAGUCUCAGGUCAGAUCGAGAACACAAUGUUCAUCAACAAGAUGAAGGAUCAGCUGUUGCCAGAGAAGGGCUGUGGUCUGGCCCCACCUCACUACCCCACCUUGCUGACAGUGCCUGCCUCAGUGUCCCUGCCCUCAGGCAUCAGUAUGGACACAGAGUCCAAGUCAGACCAGCUGACCCCACACAGCCAAGCGUCCGUUACCCAGAAUAUCACGGUGGUCCCUGUGCCGUCUACAGGACUGAUGACUGCUGGUGAGCAACUCUGCUUUUCUCCAAUCUGAGGUGUUGAUCUUCCAUGAUCAGUACCCCAGGCUGGAGGGCUCCAAGGACAUGGGGAGUGGGAUAUGUGUUUGAUUAUUCAAUCAAAUUUUUAUUAAGUGCCUACUGU
rnacentral:sRNA from 1 species